UAAAUAUCUAACACCACCUCUCUCUCUCUCAAACUCGAGAGAAAAGAAUCUCUCUUUCUUUCUCUUUCUAAAACAUACAGUAACACAACACACUAACCCACCAUCAUCACCAUCAUCCAUUGCAAGAACACAAAAAAAAAAAAAACCUCUUCUUAUCUUCUCUUCCUCUUGCUAACUGCCCCUUAGCCUCCACUCCUUUUCGUUUCUUUUCUUUGUUUCUUGCUCUUUAUUGUAUUAUAUAUAUAUAGCAAGCAAGAAGCAACCCUAGCUAAUAAACAAAACCAUAUAAAUAAAUAUACAUAUUUUUUGGAGCCAUGACUCUUGAAGACUCUCUAAGAUCUCUAUCUUUAGACUAUCUUAACCUUCUUAUCAAUGGCCAAGCUUUCUCUGAUGUAACUUUCAGUGUAGAGGGUCGUUUAGUUCAUGCCCACAGGUGUAUUUUAGCAGCAAGAAGUUUGUUUUUCAGGAAGUUUUUUUGUGGACCUGAUCCACCAUCUGGGCUAGACCCAUCCGGGUCCAGGAUAAACACGGUUGGAUCACCAGGUUCGAGGUCUAAUGUGAUACCAGUUAACUCAGUGGGAUAUGAGGUGUUCUUGUUGCUGUUACAGUUCUUGUAUAGUGGACAAGUCUCUAUUGUGCCACAAAAACAUGAGCCAAGGCCUAAUUGUGGUGAGAGAGGGUGUUGGCAUACACAUUGCACCUCAGCCGUUGAUCUUGCUCUUGACACUCUUGCCGCCGCUAGAUACUUUGGUGUUGAACAGCUUGCAAUGCUCACUCAGAAGCAAUUGGCUAACAUGGUAGAGAAGGCCUCAAUUGAUGAUGUGAUGAAGGUGCUGAUAGCUUCAAGAAAGCAAGAUAUGCACCAACUUUGGACCACUUGCUCACAUCUUGUGGCCAAAUCAGGCCUGCCACCAGAAGUCCUAGCUAAACACCUUCCAAUUGAUGUUGUGGCCAAAAUUGAAGAACUACGCCUCAAAUCAUCUAUUGCUCGAAGAUCACUAAUGCCCCACCAUCACCACCAUCUCCACGAUCUUACCUCAGCUGCUGAUCUCGAGGACCAAAAAAUUCGAAGAAUGAAAAGGGCGUUAGAUUCAUCUGAUGUUGAACUAGUCAAGCUUAUGGUAAUGGGAGAAGGGCUUAAUCUUGAUGAAGCACUGGCUUUACAUUAUGCUGUCGAGAAUUGUAGCCGGGAAGUGGUCAAAGCCUUGCUUGAGCUUGGUGCUGCUAAUGUUAAUUAUCAGGCAGGGCCGGCAGGGAAAACUCCUCUUCACAUUGCAGCAGAAAUGGUGUCACCAGAUAUGGUUGCAGUACUUCUUGAUCAUCAUGCUGACCCUAAUGUUAGAACCGUUGAUGGAGUCACCCCUCUUGACAUUCUUAGAACCCUAACCUCAGAUUUCUUGUUCAAGGGGGCAGUCCCGGGUCUAGCCCACAUGGAGCCCAACAAGCUUAGGCUGUGUCUUGAGCUCGUUCAAUCCGCAGCUAUGGUUCUUUCACGUGAAGAAGGGAAUGUGAAUGCUACUUCAACCCUUAUUUAUCCAUCAAUGAGUGAUGAACAUAAUACAAGCAGCUGUGGUAGUAAUCUUGCUAACUUGAAUCUUGAUUCAAGGUUGGUUUAUUUGAAUCUUGGAGCUGCUGGUUCAGGUCAAAUGGGAUCAAGGAUGGAUGAAGAUGACGAUAGUAGCCACAACAACCAGAGAGAUCAUCAUGCAAUGAGUAGACAUGAUCCAACAAUGUACCACCAUCACUCUCAUGACAUUUAGCUAGUUCCCAGCCUACCUAAGUUCUCUUUUUAAAUUAUAUAGCCAUGACGGAGGAUCGGGAGAGAUGGAUAGACAAGUAAAAGGCUUCUUGAGUUCAUGAAGAUUAUUAUUGGAUUAUAUUUAUAUAUAUCCUCUCUCUCUCUCUCUCUCGCUCUCUCUAUCUAUCUAUCUUGUCAUAAAUCUUCAAUCAGUUCUUUCACUUAUUGCCCUUUUUUUGUUCUUCUUUCUCUCUGUUCUGUUUGGGUUGUUUCUUUUGGACUCUGUAGGGCUUUCAAUGACUCAUCAUAUGAGAAGUGCAGUUUCAUUGGAGAUGGGAUAAAUCUCUUCUGAUCUCUCAUGGGAUGAGACAAGGAGAGUCUGAGUUUUUGCUCUCCUGAGAUGAGAGAGGGACGCAGACAUGGAAUUCUCUCCUUUCUAAGCCAGUCUCCAUGCUAUACACCUUGUGCUUACUGCGGUUUUGCGUACUUAAUUGGCAGACCCUCUUUUGAGUACUGUCCACUACUUAUUUCAAUGUUAUUCCUUAUACUCCAAUGUACUUUGUGUGGUAGAUUACCAUAAAAGUUAAAUCAGCACUAGUUAGCCACA